GAGCUUGCGCGCUUAUUGUGUGAUCAGAAAGUGCACAAAGAAGGUGCUUCUUGAUUGAUCAUUGAAGGCUUGGCAUCUUGUGAAGACUGCUACAUUUUGUGAAGGCUUGGCAUCCUGUGAAGACUGCUGUGUUGAGGCUUGGUAUCCUGUAAAGGGUGCUAGAAUUGAACCUGUUGUGAUACAGGGGUUACACGUUGAGGACUGUUCGACGUGGGUUCAGAUUGCAGAAGAGGGGAUUCUUGUUGCAAGUAUGGUUUUGGGUUAGAGAGG
rnacentral:lncRNA from 1 species